rnacentral:rRNA from 1 species
UACGGAGGGGGCAAGCGUUGUUCGGAAUUACUGGGCGUAAAGGGCGCGCAGGCGGCUGCUCAAGUCAGGCGUGAAAGGCCUGGGCUCAACCCGGGAAUUGCGCUUGAGACUGGGCUGGCUUGAGUGCGGGAGAGGAUGGUGGAAUUCCCAGUGUAGAGGUGAAAUUCGUAGAUACUGGGAAGAACACCGGUGGCGAAGGCGGGUCUCUGGGCCGUAACUGACGCUGAGGAGCGAAAGCAUGGGGAGCGAACAGG